CUGGGAAAUAGGAUCCCACAUGCGGGGGAGCAACUAAACCUGCACGCUGAAACUACUGAAACCCGUGAGCCACAGCUAGAGAGUCCACGCACUACAAUGGAUUCCCACAAGAUGCAACAAAGGUCCUGUGUGCCCCAUCUAAGACCUGAAGCAACCAAAUAAACAAUAGAUAUUUUUUAAAAAGAAAUAACAUCAAUGACAGCAGCUACUUCUACUUCUUUCCUAGGAGACCAUCUGAGUGCCCACCCCAUGACUGACUCCAUAAGCACGAGAUGACUUCAUCCUCAAAUCCUGAAGCUCUGGGAGUGUUCUACCCUCUGCUCUGUCAGCAGGAACCCUGCCCAUCUUGGAAGAUGU
rnacentral:lncRNA from 1 species